ACAAGUAAGAAAGGGCGUACGGUGGAUGCCUAGGCUCUUGCAGGCGAUGAAGGACGUGAUAAGCUGCGAUAAGUCACGAGGAGGUGCAAAUAACCUUUGAUUCGUGAAUUUCCGAAUGGGACAACCUGGCUGUCUGAAGGACAGUCACACCACAAAUGUGGUGAGCGAACGCGGGGAACUGAAACAUCUUAGUACCCGUAGGAAGAGAAAAUAAAAAAUGAUUCCCCAAGUAGUGGCGAGCGAACGGGGAAGAGCCCAAACCAACGAUGUUCCGGCAUCGUUGGGGUUGUAGGACUGCAAUGUCGCAAGAAGGAUGGUGAGUGGAAGCGUUUGGAAAAUCGCUCCAAAGAUGGUGAUAGACCAGUACACGAAGCCAUACGAAGCGUAGCAGACUCCUGAGUAGCGCGGGACACGAGAAAUCCUGUGUGAAUCCGGCGGGACCAUCCGCUAAGGCUAAAUACUCGCAAGAGACCGAUAGCGAACCAGUACCGUGAGGGAAAGGUGAAAAGCACUGCGAAUAGCAGAGUGAAAAAGUUCCUGAAACCGUACGCCUACAAGCGGUUGGAGCACCUUAUGGUGUGACAGCGUGCCUUUUGCAUAAUGAACCUACGAGUUGCCGUCGCCGGCAAGGUUAAGAGCAAAGAUGCUCGGAGCCGAAGCGAAAGCGAGUCCUAACGAGGCGCCAAGUCAGCGGCGGCAGACGCGAAACCAAGUGAUCUACCCUUGUCCAGGUUGAAGUCCGGGUAACACCGGAUGGAGGACCGAACCAAUAAGCGUUGAAAAGCUUCUGGAUGAGGUGAGGGUAGGAGUGAAAGGCCAAUCAAACUUGGAGAUAGCUCGUACUCCCCGAAAUGCAUUUAGGUGCAGCCUCGGGUGUUCCCUACGUGAGGUAGAGCGACUGAUCGGAUGCGAGGGCUUCACCGCCUAUCAAGUCCGGACAAACUCCGAAUGCGCGUAGGUCAUAACCCGGGAGUGAGGGCAUGGGUGCUAAGGUCCGUGCCCGAGAGGAGAAGAAUCCAGACCGCCAGCUAAGGCCCCGAAAUAUGGGUUAAGUUAAACUAACGAAGUGCGGUUCCCGUGACAGCUAGGAUGUUGGCUUGGAAGCAGCCAUUCAUUCAAAGAGUGCGUAACAGCUCACUAGUCGAGGGACUGUGCAUGGAUAAUAAUCGGGUAUGAAACCCAUUGCCGAAGCUGCGGGACAUCAUACGAUGUCGGUAGGGGAGCAUUCCAGUGGCGUUGAAGGUAUGAGGACAACUCAUGCUGGAGCAUCUGGAAAAGCAAAUGUAGGUAUAAGUAACGAUAAAGAGUGUGAGAUGCACUCUCGCCGUAAGACUAAGGUUUCCCGGGCAACGUUAAUCGGCCCGGGGUGAGUCGGGACCUAAGGAUAAGCCGAAAGGCGAGGCCGAUGGCAGAAAGGGUUAAUAUUCCCUUACUACCUUUAUGGGCGACGCGGAGACGGAGAAGUGAAACUCUCGCGUGCAGACGGAAUAGCACGUUAAAGAGUGUAGACGUAGAUUAGGGUAGGCAAAUCCGCCCUAAGAGUCGAACUUGAUAGUACACAAAGCCUUCGGGCAGCGUGAUAGCAGAGGUAAGCAGGCUCCCAAGAAAAUCCGCUAAGCAUUAACCAUAGAGGUACCCGUACCGCAAACGGACACACGUAGUCGAGUAGAAUAUACUAAGGCGCUUGGAAGAUUCACGGUUAAGGAACUAGGCAAAUUGACCCCGUAACUUCGGAAUAAGGGGUCCUCACGCGAGUGAGGCGCAGAGAAUAGGUCCAGGCAACUGUUUAACAAAAACACAGGGCUGUGCGAAAUCGAAAGAUGAGGUAUACAGUCUGACACCUGCCCGGUGCCGGAAGGUUAAGAGGAGAUGUCAUCGCAAGAGAAGCAUUGAAUUGAAGCCCCGGUAAACGGCGGCCGUAACUAUAACGGUCCUAAGGUAGCGAAAUUCCUUGUCGGGU
rnacentral:rRNA from 1 species